rnacentral:rRNA from 1 species
UACGUAGGUGACAAGCGUUGUCCGGAUUUACUGGGCGUAAAGAGCGCGCAGGCGGUCGUUCAAGUCGAGUGUGAAAGCCCCCGGCUCAACUGGGGAGGGUCAUUCGAUACUGAUCGACUCGAAGGCAGGAGAGGGUAGUGGAAUUCCCGGUGUAGUGGUGAAAUGCGUAGAUAUCGAGAGGAACACCAGUGGCGAAGGCGAGUUCCUGGACAGGUCCUGACGCUGAGGCACGAAAGCUAGGGGAGCAAACAGG